rnacentral:rRNA from 1 species
GUGGGGAAUCUUAGACAAUGGGCGCAAGCCUGAUCUAGCCAUGCCGCGUGAGCGAUGAAGGCCUUAGGGUUGUAAAGCUCUUUCGCUGGGGAAGAUAAUGACUGUACCCAGUAAAGAAGCCCCGGCUAACUACGUGCCAGCAGCCGCGGUAAUACGGAGGGGGCUAGCGUUGUUCGGAAUUACUGGGCGUAAAGCGCGCGUAGGCGGAUUGGAAAGUUGGGGGUGAAAUCCCGGGGCUCAAGCUCGGAACUGCCUUCAAAACACCCAGUCUUGAGUUCGAGAGAGGUGAGUGGAAUUCCGAGUGUAGAGGUGAAAUUCGUAGAUAUUCGGAGGAACACCAGUGGCGAAGGCGGCUCACUGGCUCGAUACUGACGCUGAGGUGCGAAAGCGUGGGGAGCAAACAGGAUUAGAUACCCUUGUAGUCC